AACUUGAUAAACAAACUCAUUCAUGUGAAUCAAAAUGAAUAUUUAACAAAAGAACUUUAAAAUCGCGGACUGAAUAAUUCUACGACGCAUUUUUGUUUUUAUACGGUAAGUUUAUUUAUUUGUUUUGAUAAUUUCACACACAUGCAAAUCUUGUCAUUUAAGAAAAUUAAGGCUUUUUUUGCAGUCCUUGUGUAUCUCUUUCUCGAAAUUACGUUGAAAUUCUGGUGAAUCAAAUUAACUACUCGUCCCUACCAAUUGGACAAAAUUUCAAAAAUGACACAAAAUUAUACAAAAAUACAAAACCAAGUCAACACCUUGCAUGUCCUUUAUAUUCACUGUUGUUUACAAAAAAGAAUUCAUCAUGCAUUUUUUGUUUACUUUUCGUGAAUUAACAAUGUUUACCAAAAAAUCGGAGAUAAGUGUCGAGCAUGUGACAUUUGUCGUGGAAGUUAGCUAUAUAGCGACCAUACAUUCCGACGUCAAUUAAAUUAACAUGAACGUUCAGUCUAGCGUUGAAAAUCAAAUAUCAAAAAUAUUUAGACUUUUAUAUAGAAGCACAGUUUUGAAACUAAUAUUUUUUUUCUAUUUUUUAGUCAAUAUUUAUUUAACUUUUACUCGUACUUCGGCAAUAUCAGGUGGGACAUACCUGGGUUCCGCGGAACCCUUAAUCAUUUAUUUUUAAAUUUUGAGGCUUUAUCUGUUUUCUUUAUUUUACAACUUUGAACUUUUUUAUAACAUAGUCAUUUUUCGAGGUUACAAAUCGGCGCAGUAAUAAUGUAAAAUGAUAUAUUUCUAUAUUUUAUUAACAUGUUGUAUGUAAACAUGUGAGUUUAUAUAAGUACAUAGACCUUGUAGAGUUCAUCCUAUAUACACCUUGCCGGUGCAUUUCUUUAAUGUUUGCUUAGAUCAAUAUCAAACCAUAUCUGAAUCAAACCGGUUAUUUUGUUAAGUUUGUUGUUCAAUAAAAGAAUUUAAAUAUCAGUGAAUUUACAUUGUACAUUCUCAUAUUUCAAUCAGAAUUUUACAUUUAACAAAUAGAGUAUCCUAUUUCAAAUCACCUGAUGAUAUCAUAUAACGAUAUCAGUAUUCUUUUGAAAAUAAUCCGUGUGGUAUUUCGCAGCCACUGAGUGUGCUUUAAGGUGCCUAUAACUUGUAUUUUUUUCUAUGCCCUAUUUAUGGGCAUUAUGUUUUCUUGUCUGUGCGUUCGUCCGUCAAUUCGUUCGUUUGUUCGUCCGUUCGUCUGUCCGUCCGUCCGUUCGUUCGUCCGUAUGUCUGUCCCGCUUCUGGUUCAAGUUUUAGGUCAAGGUAGUUUUUGAUGAAGUUGAAGAAAUCAACUUGAAACUUAUUACACAUGUUCCCUAUAAUAUGCUCUUUCUCAUUUUAAUGCCAAAUUAGAGAUUUUAUCCCAUUUUCACGGUCCAUUGAACAUAGAAAAUAAUAGUGCGGAUGGGGCAUUCGUGUACUAUUGACACAUUCUUGUUUAGUUAUCUCUUACGUUAUGACUUAUAUUUUUCAUAGUGUUGAAAGUUGAUAGAUGAAGAUUGAACCCAUAUUGAAUGUAUAUCAAAAGACAACAGCCAAUUAAGGCUAAUUAUCUAUCUAUUUUGUCUCGUUCAGCCAUUCUGAAUUGUACCCAGAAGUAACUUACAAACUAA
rnacentral:lncRNA from 1 species